GACGAACGCUGGCGGCGUGCUUAACACAUGCAAGUCGAACGGAAAGGCCCUGCUUUUGUGGGGUGCUCGAGUGGCGAACGGGUGAGUAACACGUGAGUAACCUGCCCUUGACUUUGGGAUAACUUCAGGAAACUGGGGCUAAUACCGGAUAGGAGCUCCUGCUGCAUGGUGGGGGUUGGAAAGUUUCGGCGGUUGUGGAUGGACUCGCGGGUUAUCAGCUUGUUGGUGGGGUAGUGGCUUACCAAGGCUUUGACGGCUAGGCGGCCUGAGAGGGUGACCGGCCACAUUGGGCCUACGAUACGGCCCAGUCUCCUACGGGAGGCAGCAGUGGGGAAUAUUGCACAAUGGGCGGAAGCCUGAUGCAGCAACGCCGCGUGCGGGAUGACGGCCUUCGGGUUGUAAACCGCUUUCGCCUGUGACGAAGCGUGAGUGACGGUAAUGGGUAAAGAAGCACCGGCUAACUACGUG
rnacentral:rRNA from 1 species